AGCGCAGGCGGGAAGACAAGUUGGAAGUGAAAACCAUGGGCUCAACCCAUGAAUUGCUUUCAAAACUGUUUUUCUUGAGUAGUGCAGAGGUAGAUGGAAUUCCCGGUAUAGCGGUGGAAUGCGUAGAUAUCGGGAGGAACACCAGUGGCGAAGGCGGUCUACUGGGCACCAACUGACGCUGAGGCUCGAAAGCAUGGGUAGCAAACA
rnacentral:rRNA from 1 species